rnacentral:lncRNA from 1 species
AGCGUGUGUGGUGCGCGCCUGCCUUGAGGCCAGGCCUCAGAGAAGGGUGUCCCAGAUGUAGGCAAAGCGUCCUCCAUGUGUUCCUGGAGGACCGUCCCAAGUCCUUCUCCAUUCUCCCAACCUCUUGGGCCUGGGAUGUCCUCCACCUUUUCAAUCUGAUUUGCUCUUUGCCAUGCAGACCUGUGGAUGAAGAGCCAGAGUCCUCCAAGGUGAAGCUGGACUGAAUAUUUCUGUCCAUAAGACUAUUAGAAUCCCCCAAAGUGGGAUACCAGUGAGGACCUCACCAGCAGCUGCUGUCUCUCCAAUGCAGCUCCACAGGGCCUGUGAGCAGGGCUGGCUAUGAGAUCCUGCCCUGAAGAGCAGUACUGGGCUGCUCUGCUAGGCACCUGCAUGUCCUGCAAAGCCAUCUGCAACCAUCAGAGCCAGCGCACCUGUGCAGCCUCCUGCGGUGAGUUCUGGGACCUGAGCCCAGGGGACAGUGUGAUCACCCCCAACGCCUGUCCCCAGAGCACCCUCUGGCCCCACAGUCAGGUGGCUGAGGAGAGGAUGGCAGGAGGAGAUGUACAGUGUGGCACCUCUUAUCCCUCCACCUUCCUGCUCUGGCCACACUGCCUCCUUUCAGUGUCGAACAUGCCAUGUUCUUCCCUGCC